rnacentral:rRNA from 1 species
AUUGAACGCUGGCGGAAUGCUUUACACAUGCAAGUCGAACGGCAGCACGGACUUCGGUCUGGUGGCGAGUGGCGAACGGGUGAGUAAUGUAUCGGAACGUGCCCAGUCGUGGGGGAUAACGUAGUGAAAAUUACGCUAAUACCGCAUACGAUCUAUGGAUGAAAGCGGGGGAUCGCAAGACCUCGCGCGAUUGGAGCGGCCGAUAUCAGAUUAGGUAGUUGGUGGGGUAAAGGCCCACCAAGCCAACGAUCUGUAGCUGGUCUGAGAGGACGACCAGCCACAAUGGAACUGAAACACGGUCCAGACUCAUACGGGAGGCAGCAGUGGGGAAUUUUGGACAAUGGGCGCAAGCCUGAUCCAGCCAUUCCGCGUGCAGGAUGAAGGCCCUCGGGUUGUAAACUGCUUUUGUACAGAACGAAAAGGUUUCUACUAAUACUAGGAGCUCAUGACGGUACUGUAAGAAUAAGCACCGGCUAACUACGUGCCAGCCGCCGCGGUAA